GACGAACCGUGCGAACGUUAUUCGGAAUCACUGGGCUUAAAGGGCGCGUAGACGGGUCGGCGCAUCGGUCGCUGAAAUCCCCCGGCUCAACCGGGGAACGGGCGCCGAGAUGGCCGUCCUCGAGUGGAGGAGAGGGACCUGGAACUGCCGGUGGAGCGGUGAAAUGCGUUGAGAUCGGCAGGAACUCCGAUGGCGAAAGCAAGGUCCUGGACUCCCACUGACGUUGAGGCGCGAAAGCCAGGGGAGCGAACGGG
rnacentral:rRNA from 1 species